GGGCAUGUGGUGUAAUGGGAAACACGUCCGACGAGUGGAGAAUCUCUGUGUGGGUUCGACCCGUAAGCCUGCAUAUCCUUCUGAGAAGCAUGCGCUCGGAAGCCAUGAGUUCGAGUCUCAUCGUGUCCA
rnacentral:tRNA from 1 species